rnacentral:rRNA from 1 species
UACGUAGGGUGCGGGCGUUAAUCGGAAUUACUGGGCGUAAAGCGCACGUAGGCGGCUUCUUAAGUCAGGGGUGAAAUCCUGGAGCUCAACUCCAGAACUGCCUUUGAUACUGGCGAGCUUGAGUCCGGGAGAGGUGAGUGGAACUGCGAGUGUAGAGGUGAAAUUCGUAGAUAUUCGCAAGAACACCAGUGGCGAAGGCGGCUCACUGGCCCGGUACUGACGCUGAGGUGCGAAAGCGUGGGGAGCAAACAGG